GGUAGUUUUAGUAGUAGAUGAUGUCAUUCCAGUGCUUGACACUGGAAUCCAGUCUUUAUCGUACAAAUGCUUAGUGUACUGAUUUGAAAUUAAGUUUUCUGGAUCCCAGUGUCGGGGCACUGGGAUGACAUCCUUUUUGGUAAAAAUU
rfam:Wolbachia endosymbiont of Drosophila simulans wNo, complete genome.